GAGUGUUUCUUUGAUUAGAUUAUGCGAUUGAAAGUUUUCUGGUUUUCCUCGUAGGGCUUGUAGCUCAGUCGGUUAGAGCGCGCGCUUGAUAAGCGUGAGGUCGGAGGUUCAAGUCCUCCCAGGCCCACCAGUUACACUAUGCAGCAAAUUGCUCUGAUCACUGAAAGUUGCUCUGAGUGAGAAUGUUAAAAUCUAGUGAAAUGUUCCCAAUUCUUUAUUGAAUAAUCCCUUAAAGAAAAUUUAUGCUUAAAUAAAUUCUUCUAAGAGCAUUCAGAGCCUCCAUAGGAACUCAAAGCCUUCCAUAGAAACGAAGUUUUCGCGAGAAUUUUUUCACUCCUCUUCAGUAAGGGGAAAACA
rnacentral:misc_RNA from 1 species